UACAGAGGUCUCAAGCGUUGUUCGGAUUCAUUGGGCGUAAAGGGUGCGUAGGCGGCGGGGCAAGUCGGAUGUGAAAUCUCAGGGCUCAACCCUGAAACUGCAUUCGAUACUGCCUUGCUUGAGGACUGGAGAGGAGAUUGGAAUUCACGGUGUAGCAGUGAAAUGCGUAGAUAUCGUGAGGAAGACCAGUGGCGAAGGCGGAUCUCUGGACAGUUCCUGACGCUGAGGCACGAAGGCCAGGGGGAGCAAACGGGG
rnacentral:rRNA from 1 species